CGAUACUCCUGCUCGUAGUGCGCAUUGCAGACGCGCUUGGAGUUCGGACCGGGAUAGUUCGAGCCGCGAUAAAUCCGGAUGCGGCGCGGCGUGCGGCGAAUGACCUCACGGCUCUGCGCGGAAAAUUCCUCGGCGGUCAGCCCAUGAUGGACAGCCGUCGAAGCAGAUUGAGCCUGCGCCAUACCCGGCAACGCCCAAACAAUCAGGCCUGCAAAGAGGCCCAUCAGAAUGGCCGAAAUCCUUGCCCGC
rnacentral:misc_RNA from 1 species